UGGGGAAUUUUGGACAAUGGGCGAAAGCCUGAUCCAGCAAUGCCGCGUGUGUGAAGAAGGCCUUCGGGUUGUAAAGCACUUUUGUCCGGAAAGAAAUCCUUGGCUCUAAUACAGUCGGGGGAUGACGGUACCGGAAGAAUAAGCACCGGCUAACUACGUGCCAGCAGCCGCGGUAAUACGUAGGGUGCAAGCGUUAAUCGGAAUUACUGGGCGUAAAGCGUGCGCAGGCGGUUUGCUAAGACCGAUGUGAAAUCCCCGGGCUCAACCUGGGAACUGCAUUGGUGACUGGCAGGCUAGAGUAUGGCAGAGGGGGGUAGAAUUCCACGUGUAGCAGUGAAAUGCGUAGAGAUGUGGAGGAAUACCGAUGGCGAAGGCAGCCCCCUGGGCCAAUACUGACGCUCAUGCACGAAAGCGUGGGGAGCAAACAGGAUUAGAUACCCUGGUAGUCCACGCCCUAAACGAUGUCAACUAGUUGUUGGGGAUUCAUUUCCUUAGUACGUAGCUAACGCGUGAAGUUGACCGCCUGGGGAGUACGGUCG
rnacentral:rRNA from 1 species